UUUAUUUCUUAUAACAAAAACGCAAUCUUCUUUUUUUUGGAUUUUCGACUUGUAACACAUUUUCACAUACAAAAUAAGAAAUACCAUAACAAAAGACUCGACAAACUUAACCUGACUAUUAUAAACUCUAACAUCACCUAAAAGACUGGAUACAACUAUACAAGACUAGAAAAUAAAACAUGAAUCAUUGACUCAAAAACAUAAAAUGACUCCUCGAGCAGCUCCUGAAUGCAGUGAUCUUGGGGUAUCUGUCAUGCCCAAACUCUAGUAAGUAAAUCCACACCUGUAUAAGAAAACUUAAACCAACAUUAUGUGAGACAAUAACGUUCCCUACUAGACACAUGCAAGACAUGGUUGUGACUAUUUUUGCAAAAUGGCUUAUUUGGCAAAAAGGUGGUUAGAAGUGCAAAAUUUGGCUAGGACCCCGCAAAGCCAAGAACCUAAGAUUUACUAGGAAGACCGGACCCUAUGUGGGUUGCAUACGUAUCACGCCCCGAAAGACGAGAAUCAAGUAUGCGUAGUUCGGACAAUUUUGGAUAUGGGCAUGAAUAAUAAAAAAAACAACUAAUCUAGACCAAAUAUAUAUUUUUUUUUUGUCUUUUUUGAAACAUGACGAAACUUGUAAACUCUUUUUUGGAUUUUCUUUUCCCCCUUCUUUUGAUUUUCAGAAAAUGAUGAAAAAGUGCAAAAUCUUUUUGAAUGUUUCGUGUGUGUUUUUCUUAACGAAAAUGUGAUAGAAACAUAAUUGGGCCCUACUUGCUUGAUUUUCACACUUAAACCUCUUUUUUCGUUUUCUUUUUCUUUUUUUCUCUUUCUCUUUUUUUUCAUUUUCCCUCAAUUAUCAUUGGUCCGCCAAAUGACCCUUUUAGCCAUGAAGGAAUGCAACAUGUAUCACAUAUGAUGCAUCAAGAUGGUCUGUUAAUUUGGAUAAACCUGUCCUAGACGGACCCAACCCCUGUGUUGAGUCCCCUAAGUCAAAUGCACGUGAUGCAAACAAACGUUCCUACUAGGGAUCCGGCAUGAGGCUGUGCUUUUCUAGGUUUAAAUCCUGGGGUUUUGGUCUAGACUUGGGGUACCCGAGCGGACAACUGGGGCCGAAGAGGGGGCGACGUACCGGGAGCACUAAAGUCUACCCGGACUUGUCGCUUGCCCUGCCUCGUUCUAUUUGGUAUAAUUUCUACAGAAAAAGCGGGUCACGCGAACGUAUGCACCAUUUUCAGAAGACUCAGAGGGGUGGCGUAAGAAGACAGUUAUAUACAAUUUAAACAAUAUCAAAGCGGUAAACAGAUAGCAAUUAGCAUAAAGGUUCACAGAAUACAGUAUUGUGAACAAUAAAUAAAGCCAAGUAAAAAUCAUGAAACAAGCUUGAAUUCUUGAACCCUGAACCAGAGAUUCUGGGUACUUGUCCCCAAUAGAGUCGCCAGAACUAUCACACCUCCUUUUUGUCUACACCCUGUAAAGGUAUAAAAGGGAGUUUUUCCAAUUAAAGGACAAUCGAAACGAGAUUUAUUGUUAAAAGAUUCAGAGUCACCACUUGGGAGAUUUAUGGUGUCCCAAGUCACUGGUUGAAUCCCGAAUCGAGGAAAACUUGACUAUGUUUAACAGUCCGCGAACCAGAAAUCCGAGUAAGGAAUUCUGUUAAUCCGGGAGAAGGUGUUAGGCACUCCCGAGUUCCGUAGUUCUAGCACGGUCGCUUUGAUCAUACUUGGCUUACUAAAAUGUCUAAUUACUGAUUUUAGAACCUAUGUGCAUUUGCCUCUUCUAAUUAAGAAAUUAUCUUGAAAUGGGUCACGCGUACGUGUACCCAUUUGUUUGGCAUGUCAAAAAUCAUGUCAUGCGAACGUGUACACAACUAAUAACACUUUAUUAAGAAAAGUUUGGCCAAAGUUGCGCGAACGCAUACUCCGGUUUGUUUUUAGAACCAUAAUCAUGUCACGCGAACGUGUCCACAAUCAUAAUAAUAUAUUAAAUGUGCCUACAGGAAACUACGAUAAUUGGUUAUUUGUUAUAUCAAAAUUAUAAAAUUAAUGUGAGGGCCAUGAGCAAUUUAAUUAUGGAUGACACACCUCAAUCUAUCCUUAAGGAAUCGUAAUUAUGUUACGCGAACGUGUCCACAAUCACGAUGAUAUAUUAAAUGCGCCUAAAGAAAGCUACGAAUAUUCAUUAGAAACCAUAAUUAUGUCACGCGAACGUGUACAUAAUCACAAUAAUAAAUUCAAAACGUGCCUAAAAGUUCGCCUACCCGAGUGUGGUCGGCCUAAACAUGCUACUAGCAUGCAACUAAAUAAAGAAGAACGCGAGCAUGAACAGUUUUUAAGCUUAAUAUAGUAAAGUUCUAUCAAACAUUCCAAGUCAAGUUUCGUGACCCAACACUCCAACAGAAAGACGUAAACUUUAAUUUAUUUCCAUUAACCUUUUAGUUACUUGAAUUAAUCUAAACCCAACUACCAUUAAUUUCAUUCGCUGUUGUGGCUCACUUUUUAUAACCCAAAAUUAUUGAACCAAGCAGAUAAUGUGUUCAUCACUCUAAAGAAAAACUAGACAAAUUCACCUUUGUUUCCAAAUAAUGCGUCAAAUAUAAGCUGACACAAAAUAAUUCAAACCAAGAAAAUUUUAAAACAAACCACGAGCAGAGCAAUCAUUCAGCAUGCUUAAUCAUCAAAGAUCGAUCACAAAACACAAAUAUAAAGCUUACAAUCAAAGUAAGAGAUAGACCUUAAAGUGAUAUCCGUUCCGACUGCAGUAGCAAUGCGUAAAUAGGAACCAGGACCAGCGUUUGACCGGAAAACCACUAACGGGAUGCCUCGUCGACGACCUCGCGAACUCUCACCGGAAUGAACUCAACUUAAGAGAGCAAACAACAAUUAAUGACAGUGGAGCUGUCGUGUCUCAUAGGGAAAGAAAUCUGGCUGGUGAUUUAAGGUGAAGCAUUGUAAAGUAGAUGGUUUAAGGUGGAAUCAUUGGUGUUUUGCUGGAAAUAUGGAAGCUAUGAAAAUUAUCUAUGUAGAAGAAAGUUGCGGCUCAGGUUUUCUCCUAGAAGAAGAAAGAACGAUGGAGGGUCUGUUCUAAUGAAAACGGCGUUGAUUCUCUAAGUAUGUCAGUUUUUUUA
rnacentral:lncRNA from 1 species